rnacentral:rRNA from 1 species
GAUGAACGCUGGCGGCGUGCCUAAUACAUGCAAGUCGAACGCUUCACAUUUGUGAAGAGUGGCGAACGGGUGAGUAAUACAUAAGUAACCUGGCAUCUACAGGGGGAUAACUGAUGGAAACGUCAGCUAAGACCGCAUAGGUGUAGAGAUCGCGUGAACUCUAUAUGAAAAGUGCUACGGGACUGGUAGAUGAUGGACUUAUGGCGCAUUAGCUAGUUGGUAGGGUAACGGCCUACCAAGGCGACGAUGCGUAGCCGACCUGAGAGGGUGACCGGCCACACUGGGACUGAGACACGGCCCAGACUCCUACGGGAGGCAGCAGUAGGGAAUUUUCGGCAAUGGGGGAAACCCUGACCGAGCAACGCCGCGUGAAGGAAGAAGUAAUUCGUUAUGUAAACUUCUGUCAUAGAGGAAGAACGGUGGAUAUAGGGAAUGAU